UACGAAGGGGGCUAGCGUUGUUCGGAAUCACUGGGCGUAAAGGGCGCGUAGGCGGCUUUAUAAGUCGGGGGUGAAAGCCUGUGGCUCAACCACAGAAUUGCCUUCGAUACUGUCGAGCUUGAGACCGGAAGAGGUAAGUGGAACUGCGAGUGUAGAGGUGAAAUUCGUAGAUAUUCGCAAGAACACCAGUGGCGAAGGCGGCUUACUGGUCCGGUUCUGACGCUGAGGCGCGAAAGCGUGGGGAGCAAACAGG
rnacentral:rRNA from 1 species